rnacentral:rRNA from 1 species
CCUACGGGACGCACCAGUGGGGAAUAUUGGACAAUGGGCGAAAGCCUGAUCCAGCAAUGCCGCGUGUGUGAAGAAGGUCUUUGGAUUGUAAAGCACUUUCGACGGGGACGAUGAUGACGGUAACCGUAGAAGAAGCCCCGGCUAACUUCGUGCCAGCAGCCGCGGUAAUACGAAGGGGGCUAGCGUUGCUCGGAAUGACUGGGCGUAAAGGGCGCGUAGGCGGUUUAUGCAGUCAGAUGUGAAAUCCCCGGGCUUAACCUGGGAACUGCAUUUGAGACGCAUAGACUAGAGGUCGAGAGAGGGUUGUGGAAUUCCCAGUGUAGAGGUGAAAUUCGUAGAUAUUGGGAAGAACACCGGUGGCGAAGGCGGCAACCUGGCUCGAUACUGACGCUGAGGCGCGGAAGCGUGGGGAGCAAACAGGAUUAGAUACCCCCGUAGUC